rnacentral:rRNA from 1 species
UACGAAGGUGGCAAGCGUUGUUCGGAUUUACUGGGCGUACAGGGAGCGUAGGCGGUUGGAUAAGCCCUCCGUGAAAUCUCCAGGCUUAACCUGGAAAGUGCAGAGGGGACUGUUCAGCUAGAGGAUGGGAGAGGAGCGCGGAAUUCCCGGUGUAGCGGUGAAAUGCGUAGAUAUCGGGAAGAACGCCAAGGGCGAAGGCACUCUGCUAGGCCUGAUUUCGCGACUGACACUCAGGGACGAGAGCCAGGGGAGCGAAUGGG